UGGGGAAUUUUGGACAAUGGGGGCAACCCUGAUCCAGCAAUGCCGCGUGAGUGAAGAAGGCCUUCGGGUUGUAAAGCUCUUUUGUCCGGGAAGAAAUCCUCUUGGUUAAUACCUGGGAGGGGAUGACGGUACUGGAAGAAUAAGCACCGGCUAACUACGUGCCAGCAGCCGCGGUAAUACGUAGGGUGCAAGCGUUAAUCGGAAUUACUGGGCGUAAAGCGUGCGCAGGCGGUUGUGCAAGACCGAUGUGAAAUCCCCGGGCUUAACCUGGGAACUGCAUUUGGUGACUGCACGGCUAGAGUGUGUCAGAGGGGGGUAGAAUUCCACGUGUAGCAGUGAAAUGCGUAGAGAUGUGGAGGAAUACCGAUGGCGAAGGCAGCCCCCUGGGAUAACACUGGCGCUCAUGCACGAAAGCGUGGGGAGCAAACAGGAUUAGAUACCCUGGUAGUCCACGCCCUAAACGAUGUCAACUAGUUGUCGGGUCUUAAUUGACUUGGUAACGCAGCUAACGCGUGAAGUU
rnacentral:rRNA from 1 species